GAGCGCAGGGAACGGCGGGAGCCGGGAGGUGACGGCUAGCAGCGUGAGAAGGCCGCUGGCUCCUGAGAAAUCCCCCUCCUCCAGGUGGUUUUGUCCUUUUGGACCAAUUAUCUAACCUGGGCCUGGACUCCAUCUACCACUGUCCUGCCUGGUUCACUGCAGCUCACUUCAUCUUCCUGUGCCUUCUCUGAAAGGGCCCCUCCAAAAGUUUCCUGGGUAUGUCCCCUCAAGAGAUGGGGUUUCACCAUGUUUCCAAGGCUGGUCUCGAACUCCUGGGACCUCAAGUGAUCCGCCCACCUCGGGCUCCCGAAGUGCUGGGAUUAUAGGCAUGAACCACCGUGCCUGACCAGGAUGAUGGGAAUUUUUAAUGGGAAGGCUGUGACACAACCUAAAAGAGGCACCAUUAGUGAGGCAAGCAGGCAGAAGUCUUUGGAUAGGAGGAGCAAUGAACCUGGGAGAGAGCAUCGAGCAGGGGCACAUGUGGAGAACCUGCUUCGGAACCUAUUAGAGGCAGAAAAGACCCUGGGCAAGUCCAGUUCCCAUGGAUCAGGCAUUCCUUGGAUUGUCCGCCCUGCAUUUGUCUUCUCUCUUUCCCUUUUCCUUGCAGUACCCCGAGGCUCCCACUCCUGUUCCCGGAACCAAGCUAGGUCCGGCUGCAUUUUCUGGAGGCUCAAUAACAAGAAGCAGACAAACUAGGAAAGAAGGGAAUUGACUACUAUAGCCGGAUACAGGGAGAAGGCCGGAGAUAAUUCCACCAGACCAACUCAAAAGUGUUAAAAUUUUCUUAGUGCAGUCUAGCAUUCGCCUAAGUCUAUUGGUAACUAAUUUUGUUUCAACUAGAAGGUCAGAGGCAAAAAAAAGAAAUGCUAAGUCCGAUUAAAAGGGCCCCAGUACCUUCAAGGCCUGUCUAUGGUGGUACGGAGUGAUUAUUUCUAUCUUAUCUCUUUUACAGCUUGGUCUGGAGAGCUGCCUUAGACUUCCCAAUGAAUUUAUUAAAACAGCUGCCUCUGUAACCUUGACUUGUCUCAGAUUUUGUCGACCUGAGAUGGGUCCUGGCACUAGGAAUGUAAAACUGUCUCUAUUAUUUUGGUUUGCUCCAGCAAGGGAGAAGCCCAUGCAAGGCUCCUACUGACUGUAUGUUUCAUUUCUAGCUUGGAUGUCUCAGCACCGAUUUCUCUAGGUUUAACUAUUUGCUCAAUGUUCAGGCAGCACUGUGGAAAUCUGUCUGUGUAACGGGUGCUACGCAGGCCUGUCUGUGCGACUGUCAUGCAGGCCUGUCUGUGCGAUUGUCAGGGAGAAUUGGCCUGCCACACUCCCACUCAUUUCUGCAUUCUCAUUAAGGCAUAUUAAGGAUUAGAAAGGGAUUGCUAGGCCAGGCCUGGCUAGUCUUCCUUAAAUGGAACUUUCAGAAGGAAAGGGGAAAACCAAAACAAUUUCCCCCUUCAACUUUUUAACUGUGUUUCUCUUGGGCCAAAGACCUCUUAGGGAUUUCCCCCGGGAGCUCUUUUUGCGAAGGAUGUUUUGUUUUUCCUUUGUGAAUAGGGACUAAUUCAUUCAUUAAAGCAACAUCUACUGAGCUUGUAUUACAGGUAAGCACUGCUCCAGGUGCUGGGGAAAACGGAGUGAACUGAAAUCACAAAAACCCUGCAGCGCUCAUGCCAUGUACGUUCUAUUGAGGAAAACAAGCAAUAAACAAGAUUAAUAAGAAACUCUCAAACAACUGAGAAGGUGCCUCGACAUCUGAUUUGCCCCAAACCUCUAUACACUGGACAUCUUCUGAAUAAGGCUGUGUUGUAUGUUGGGACAAGCAAAGGGAUGGAAAUCAAGAAUUCUGGGUUUUAGUCCUGACUGUCACUACAUGGCUGUGUUACUUCUGACUCUGUGAAGCAGAACUCGGGCCUCUAGCGUCUGCUAGUCUAGAUCGCUUUCUACCACCCUCGUGCUUUUGGGAGGGCCUGAUUCAGAUGAAGAGUCUCCUGAGAGCAUGGAUUGUCUCAGAUGAAGAGUCUCCUGAGAGCAUGAACUGUCUCAGGUAUCCGUGUGUUCCUCAGUGUCUGGCUUGGUGACUGGCACACAA
rnacentral:lncRNA from 1 species